rnacentral:lncRNA from 1 species
AGGGGCCCUGAGCCUAAUUUGAGAUUUUUUGGAACACGUGCAGGUACCGUUAGUGUGUUUCAGUUCCCCGGGAAAAAUUCAGGGAAAAUUAGGGACGGCCUGUAGGCGCACUGUGAAUCGUAUUCGGAUCCCGAAAACAAGUAAGGACCCCUCACCCUAUUUCCUAUCACGGUAUUAAAGUUCAAAAUGAUAAAACGGUAUCUCUUGAAUUAACGCAUGUGUGAAAUUGCUUAAGGUUGCUAAUGGAGCCCGAGUCUAGUGUGAUUGAUGAUUUACUGUUAUUUG